AUGUAGCACCAUGGCCAUGGACCUUAUUGUCUUCUUGGGGCCACAACUAGGGAGAAAGGAAGGCAGAGGAGUGGAAGGGCUCAGGUGAAGCUGGGACGAUGCUGGGGUGAUGUUGGGGGGUACCCGAGUCCCAGAAGCACCUGGAACCCUGAAAGAAGACAGAUUCUGGACUCCCCAGAGGGGACCAGCCUGAGCAGUAUGGAAGUGGCCUGGAGGUGGGGAACGCUGCGGGCGCACACACACACACACAGCCAAUCCCAGGAGCCCAGUAAUGGAGAGCCCCAACCAGAGGAACCACCAGCUGAAAGUCGGGAUCCUACACCUAUUCAGAAGGCAGAAUGAGAUCAGGAUACAGCUGAGAUCCCAGUGCAUGACAUGGAAGGUGAUCUGCAAGAGCUGCAUCAGUCAGAUACUGAGGAUAAAUCUGGAUUUGGGUUCUGGUGUCAAGGCGAAGAUUAUACCAAAAGUAGAACAUUGUAAAAUGCCAGAAACAGGUGAAGGACAACCACAAGCUUAAAUGAAGACAAGUCGAAACAAUGUAAACUGGUUUUAUAUUAGAUAUUUGACUUAAACUAUUUCAAUAAAGUUUUGCAGCUUUCACCAAA